CCCUAAGGACACAAAACAAGAGUGUUAAGAUCUGCCAGAUAUGGGACUCACCUGCAGCAGAAUGUGGCUUUAACAGAACUUGGGAGAUCCUUCCAACGGAAGAUAUUUUGUUUACAAAGCACAAUCACUUUGGAGACCUUGAUCUGACUUCUGCAAUAAAUGAAGAGCAGAAUUUGGAGAUGGACAGCCUCUGUUGCUUCUCAUUUGGGAGCUGCUCUGGGGCUUUGGUGUACAGGGCACAUCCUGCAUGAGUACCACCUGCCCUCACGCUCCUGCUGGUCUCCAGGUGCCCCUCCUUUCUUCUCUUUCUGCCUGGGAGCUCUCUCCCACUGCUGCACAGCCACAGUACUCAGACAGCCUCAUCCUAUCCCUUUGCUCCAUUCUCCCUUCCCUGGACCUGUGGGAAAAUUCUGUGCUAAGAAGAGAUUUGGGGUCUGUGUGUAGCUCUGCAGUCAAGCCUAGAAGAUUGUCUUUUUGCAGAGCAUUUGUUGAAUUUUGAAUUGAACAUUCUCCUGAUUCCACUGGAAUUAAAAGGUAGAACUCAGAGUAUGUUUGGCUCCUGUCACUUAAAGCAAUCAGCACCGUUAACUGGUAAUCUUGGGACCCCUGGCUUGAGCAAAUGCAUGACAAUUCUUAGGAUGCCUGUGCUGAAAGUCUUCUCUUUGUGGACCUUGAUGGGGUUUGGUUUCAUUUGCUCCAGAAUGGAUUGCCCUUGUUGCUGUUGCUGCAGGCUCAUGAUCUGGACCCAGCCCCAGGACUCAAGCAGGACUGAAGGACACAUGGAUGCGGAUUUGCCUCUCCCCGAGGUGCUGCUGGCUGGGUCACUGCCUGCUGGAGGGUGUCUCUAAUACCUGACUUAACCUGAAGCAUGCACUUCCUCAGGAGGUCUGCAGCAGGGCUGGAGGACUGCAAACACUGCAUCCCUUCCCUCCUGUCAGCUGCUGCCACAUGACUGCAGUGCCUGUGCUGUGCUCUCAGCUCCCUCCCCCUGAAAUGUUCACCCUGGUGGUUUGUAAGGAGCUGCCUUGGAGCAGGCUUUGCUUUUGGUAGCAGUAUCCCUUGUUGCCAUGUUGUUCAUGAAGAAGAUGACUUUAUCCUUGCCUUUAUUCCACUGGGACCAGCUGCUCUACCCACAGGCACCAAAAGUGACAAAUCUGCCAUAACCUUUUUUAAUUUUCAAUUGAAACUCUACAUCACAUGAACUUCUUGGGGUUUUUUUGAGAGGUAAAGACAAUUUUUUUCUUUUUUUUUUCUUUUAGAAACAACACAAAAAAAAAACAAAAAAAAAAAAAACCCAAACACCACAGCCCAACAAACCCAAAGCUAACAGAAAAAAAAAAUCAAAACCCACACAUUGAACCCAAGUUGGAGAAACAACGCAUUGUGUGACUGAUACAGUCCAUGGGAGUACAAAGCAUUCCAGUCUGAUCUUGCACAUCCACUCCCUGUACCUAUUAAUAACUUUUAGGCAUGGGCAUAGAGAUGGAGAUGGACAAGAGUAGUUUGUCAUGCAGACAUUUAUCUGGGAACUAUUUUCUAGAGCUAAAGAUUUCAGUGUGAUAAAAUGGACAUUUUAAAGCAUUGGGGGAGAUAAGGGGGGAUGUAACUGCCCUUAAACUGAGGUUGGAUUAGGCAGUCUCAUAUCUUGGAGUCUGCCAGUAAAUAGCAAAGUAUAUGAGCAAUGGAAAUAUGUCCUUCUUAAUCUGUAAAAAGAAAAGGACUGUUUUGAAAAUCCAUCAAUCUUUCAAAUCAUCUUAAAGCAUAUUGAUCCUGAAUCAUCACAGGGGAAUUCAACAGGGGUGUUCUUAUUAGUGAGCUAAAAAUACAAAUGUGGUUGAAUACAUGCAAAACUGUAUCUUAUUCCAGUUGUCUUUAUUACUGCAAUAAAUGAUACCAACUCUCUCUUCCUACAGA